rnacentral:rRNA from 1 species
UACGUAGGGUGCGAGCGUUAAUCGGAAUUACUGGGCGUAAAGCGUGCGCAGGCGGUUUUGUAAGCCAGAUGUGAAAUCCCCGGGCUUAACCUGGGAAUGGCAUUUGGGACUGCAAGGCUGGAGUGUGGCAGAGGAGACUGGAAUUCCUGGUGUAGCAGUGAAAUGCGUAGAUAUCAGGAGGAACACCGAUGGCGAAGGCAGGUCUCUGGGCCGAUACUGACGCUGAGGAGCGAAAGCGUGGGGAGCGAACAGG